CCGCGGCGUCGCUGGCGUCCUGUCAAGUUGGGGCCGUCGCGGACUGGAGCGGGUCUGGAUAGCAGCCGGGGGAAGGCGCAGUCAUGCCCCGCUAUUACGAGGACAAGCCGGAGGGCGGCGCGUGCGCGGGCUUGAAGGAGGACCUCGGCGCGUGCCUGCUGCAGUCGGACUGCGUGCUCCAGGAAGGAAAAUCCCCUCGGCAGUGUCUGAAGGAAGGAAACUGCAAAGCUUUGAAAUACUCAUUUUUUGAGUGUAAAAGAUCAGUGUUGGAUGCCAGAUCAAGAUUCAGGGGAAGAAAAGGAUAUUGACACUACUAUGUUGAAACCAAGAUGAAAACAACAAAGGAUUUUCUCUGUCAUUAAAACAGAGAAGCCAAAAUAAGAAACGUACUUUUUGUUACAUCUGUUCAGUUGGAGCAGUUUCUUCCCCCAUGGAACACUGAAGAAAAUGGAUGAGUAUGUAUAAAGUAAAUGCUUCUCUUGCUCUAAGUUAUUUUUAGAAGAAAAAUUUAAUUGAAUAGUUAUGAGCUAAGAACAUAGUAGAUGUGUUUUAAGAAUUGUUCUGAAGCACAGAGAAUGGAAAGCUUGUUAUUUUCAAACUUGACUCCUCAACCAAAUGACACAGUUUGUACAUCCUUCUUGAAUAUUGUGAAGGCCACUAAUGGGACUGUUAAAAUCAACAUGGUGCCUGGUGAGAAAAUGUCUAUCUGGAAAGUUUAGGAUAAAACUUUCUUUUAUUCAGUCUGUACUAUUUAGUUCUAAAAUAAAUUGUGUUUGAUUCCUUGGAGAAGAAAUGCUUCCCUUGCACUGAAUCACUGAAGUAACAACCUCAAAACAUUAAUAUCACUCAUUAGGCAUAGCUGGAUCCAGAGCCUGGGAUUAUGCUGCCAGGGCUCCUUGCCUCCAUCUCUUGACUGUUUUUCUCUGUUUCCUGACCUCGUUUUUAGGCUGGCCCUCUCUACAUAAUGGGAAAGAGGCCAGUGUCCAUCAAAAACACACAUCCUUAAGGUCUGUGACCCAAAAAGAAGAGAGAUAACCUUUUCUAGGGUCCACUAAUCAGACCCUACAAAAGGACUCUUGUCUUCUGUGGAACACCUGCCCCUGAAUUAGACCUGUAGUCCCUGUGGAAAAAGGGAUGGGACCCCAUGAUCUUGGCCAGGCCUGGGUCUUAUGCACUGUAUUUGGUAACUCAUGUCAGAAUCACACUGAAUGAAUGAUGGGCUUUAUCCUAAAAGGAAAGAAGGAUUCAGAGCCAGUAGGUAUUGACUAUAGAAGGCAAGACUGAAAACCAUAAAAUGCUUGUAAAAGUUUAGAAUCAUGUAAUUUUAUUCCAAUCAUAUAAUAUAGUAGAGCCAGAUAUGAAUCCAAGUUUUCAGCUUUUUUUUUUCAGUAUUGAAGAAUAAUGGAAGGAGCCAUAACUUCUUCAUAGACCUGCAGUUCACUGGAGUUAAAGCAAUCAAGAAUUCAACAUGUAGCAAAACCAUCUGGCUCAGAAGGCGGCUGUCACAUGCUGUCUCAACCUGGGAGACAGCUGUCCCGGGCACACAGCAAUGCCGCGGGCUGUGCGAUGGCUACACGGCUCUCAGCGCUGGGGCGUCAUGAAGAAGUGACCCCACUGAGGUCACCUUCUCCAGGUGAGCUGCCCUCGUUGUGGUCACCUCUCUCAAGAGUGCCACUGAGCCAGUGAGAGCCCACAGGGGGCCCUUCCCUAGAGAACCUGCCACCAGCCUCUUCCGCUGCUGCACUGAUCAAGGGUUGUCAUGGCAACCCAGUGGGCAAAGCAAAUGCUCAACAGGAGGAUGAGCUGUCAGGCAGGCCUCACAUUCCCAAAUGGGAGCCUCAGGGGAGCUCUCUGGGAAAUGUUGUGAUAGACAUCAAAUUCACAGGCAAAAGUGAUUCUAAAUAGGAAUGACUUCCUAUAGCACAGUAUAAGUUUAUAGUUUUAUAUUAUUCUAAGACUAGCAGUUAAAUAAACUAUACUAAAUUUAGUACAAAAUCCCCUUUAUGAGAUGUAAUAUUUGCAGUUACCAAGAAACAGUGAUUUAAAAAAAAAUAUUUCAAGUUGUAUGAAGACUAUUAUGUCAUGCAUUUUAA